rfam:Schistosoma curassoni strain Dakar, Senegal genome assembly, scaffold: SCTD_contig0001961
GCAUUGCUGAAGAGUCCCACAACAGGACGAAACGGCCGUCCAGUGC